UCUUCGUCAAUGGACGAAAGUCUGACCGAGCAACGCCGCGUGAGUGAAGAAGGUUUUCGGAUCGUAAAACUCUGUUGUUAGAGAGGAAUGUUGAUUAGAGUGGAAAAUUUAUCAAGUGACGGUAUCUAACCAGACAGGGACGGCUAACUACGUGCCAGCAGCCGCGGUAAUACGGAGGUCCCGAGCGUUGUCCGGAUUUAUUGGGCGUAAAGCGAGCGCAGGUGGUUUAAUAAGUCUGAUGUAAAAGGCGGUGGCUCAACCAUUGUGUGCAUUGGAAACUGUUAGACUUGAGUGCAGUAGAGGGGAGUGGAAUUCCAUGUGUAGCGGUGAAAUGCGUAGAUAUAUGGAGGAACACCGGUGGCGAAAGCGGCUCUCUGGACUGUCACUGACACUGAGGCUCGAAAGCGUGGGUAGCAAACAGG
rnacentral:rRNA from 1 species